CUGGGGAAGGCCCUCCGCAAACUUCUGGCUGGACAGGAAACAGUUUACCUCCUUCCUCCAAACUGAGGGGGCUGAAUUUCAGGAAGUGAACUGUGGCUUCCCCCCUGCGGUGCUGAACUCGCCCGUGUAGCUGUGAUUUUAGAGCUGCCGACAGCUCUAAGCUGGGCUCGCGCCCCGCCCACCCCGCGGGGAUUGGCUGCGAACGCGGAAGAACCAAGCCCACGCCCCGCGCCCGCGC
rnacentral:lncRNA from 1 species